rnacentral:rRNA from 1 species
GUGAGUAAUGCCCACCAAGGCUAUACCAGUACGGGCUCUGAGAGAGGGGCCCGGAGAUGGUACUGAGACACGGACCCAGGCCCUAUGGGGCGCAGCAGNCGAGAAACCUUUGCAAUGUGCGAAAGCACGACAAGGUUAAUCCGAGUGUCUCCUGCUAAAGGAGUCUUUUGUCAGUUGUAGAAUCACUGGUGAAUAAGGGGUGGGCAAGUUCUGGUGUCAGCCGCCGCGGUAAAACCAGCACCUCGAGUGGUCAGGAGGUUUAUUGGGCCUAAAGCAUCCGUAGCCGGUUGCAUAAGUUUUCGGUUAAAUCUAUGCGCUUAACGUAUAGGCCGCCGAAAAUACUGUGCAGCUAGGGAGUGGGAGAGGUACACGGUACUCGAUAGGAAGGGGUAAAAUCCUUUGAUCUAUUGAAGACCACCUGUGGCGAAGGCGGUGUACCAGAACACGUUCGACGGUGAGGGAUGAAAGCUGGGGGAGCAAACCGGAUUAGAUACCCGGGUAGUCCCAGCUGUAAACGAUGCAGACUCGGUGAUGCAUUGGCUUGUGGCCAAUGCAGUGCCGCAGGGAAGCCGUUAAGUCUGCCGCCUGGGAAGUACGUACGCAAGUAUGAACUUAAGGGAAUUGGCGGGGGAGCACCACAAGGGGUGAAGCCUGCGGUUCAAUUGGAGUCAACGCC